UGAGGAAUUUUCUGCAAUGGGCGAAAGCCUGACAGAGCAAUACCGCGUGAGGGAAGACGGCCCGAGGGUUGUAAACCUCUUUUGUCAAGGAGGAAGUUCUGACGUGUACUUGACGAAUAAGCAUCGGCUAACUCCGUGCCAGCAGCCGCGGUAAGACGGAGGAUGCAAGUGUUAUCCGGAAUUACUGGGCGUAAAGCGUCUGUAGGUGGUUUGCUAAGUCUGCUGUUAAAGCUUGAAGCUCAACUUCAAAAAUGCAUCAGAAACUAGUAGACUUGAGUGUGGUAGGGGCAGAGGGAAUUUCCAGUGAAGUGGUGAAAUGCGUAGAUAUUGGAAAGACCGCCAAAGGCGAAGGCACUCUGCUGGGCCAUAACUGACACUGAGAGACGAAAGCUAGGGGAGCAAAUGG
rnacentral:rRNA from 1 species